rnacentral:rRNA from 1 species
AAACUCAAAGGAAUUGACGGGACCCGCACAAGCGGUGGAACAUGUGGUUUAAUUCGAGCCCAAAGCGAAAAACCUCACCAAGGUUUGACAUACCAAUCGUAUCCCUAAGAAACUAGGGAGUCAGUUCGGCUGGAUUUGGAUACAGGUGUUGCAUGGCUGUCGUCAGCUCGUGUCGUGAGAUGUCGGGUUAAGUCCUUUAACGAGCGCAACCCUCAUUGCAUGUUAAUUUUUCAUGCGAGACUGCCCUGGUUAACAGGGAGGAAGGUGGGGAUGACGUCAAGUCAGCAUGGCCCUUACACCUUGGGCUACACACGUGUUACAAUGGCCGGUACAAUAAGUCGCAAUACCGUAAGGUGGAGCUAAUCUAUGAAAACCGGUCCCAGUUCGGAUUGGGGGCUGAAACUCGCCCCCAUGAAGUCGGAAUCGCUAGUAACCGUGAAUCAGCACGUCACGGUGAAUACGUUCCCGGGUCUU